UCUUUCUCUUUCCUCAUUCCAUGCCCUCAUCUUCACUGUUUCCUCUUGAAUGAGAAAAUCCUUCUUUGAUCUCUCCAUCAUCCUUAGGUUUGAAGGCUAAACUUUCUUCUUCUUCUUGAGAUUCAGCAAGGUGGUGAGGCUUUGGCUAGAGGCAAAGAGUCGGCGGAGGAGUAGCACCGUUGAGGAGUUAUUAACUUCCAAGUUUGCUUUAGCGUUUAGUGGCGGCGCGACAAACGUGGUGCUUAGUAGCUCCUUGUUCCUUCCUUCUUC